rnacentral:rRNA from 1 species
UACGGAGGAUCCGAGCGUUAUCCGGAUUUAUUGGGUUUAAAGGGAGCGUAGGUGGAUUGUUAAGUCAGUUGUGAAAGUUUGCGGCUCAACCGUAAAAUUGCAGUUGAAACUGGCAGUCUUGAGUACAGUAGAGGUGGGCGGAAUUCGUGGUGUAGCGGUGAAAUGCUUAGAUAUCACGAAGAACUCCGAUUGCGAAGGCAGCUCACUGGACUGUUGACUGACGCUGAGGCUCGAAAGUGUGGGUAUCAAACAGG